rnacentral:tRNA from 1 species
UUUCGACUAGCGGCGUGCUGGAUUUCCAAUCCAGAGUUCGCGAGUUCGAUUCUCGUAUCGGGAU